GACUGGCUGUCUCCCAGCAGGGUGAGAGGAAGUUCUGUGCACUUCAAUUGCUGCAAUGACUUGAUCCUGCCAGAAACCCAGGGAGACAUCCCAAGCCAGCGCUGCCUGAUGCUGGCUGUGUGCUUUGCCGAGUCUCCUCACCCACUGCAAUCUCUACUACUUUAUCUCUAAAAUGUCAGCAAGAGUUUGCCCUUUAGCUGAGUGCGUGCUGCGUGCAAGGCUGAACCACGUGCGAGUUAAGACAGCAUCCAUCCCCAUAGGAGAAGAUACAGCACGGUGCGAUGUGCUGUUUAUGUCUGGAAGCCUGAGACACUCUGCUCCACAAAAGCAAGGAAUUCUGCACCUCCCAAUGCACUGGAGUAGAGUCAAGGCGAGGACUAUUCGACCUGGCUUUUUAACCCAGGACAAGCUCAUGAAAAAGAUGAAAGGGAAAUUUUCUGACAAGUCAAGCAUCAAGGACCUCCCCCACCCUUCUGCUGGGUUUUCGGGGACACCACCCUGAAAAGGAGAUUCACGGGCAGGAAGAUAUUUGAGCCAAACAGAGCAUCACCUAAGAACAAGUAAAAGAAGCAAGACUCAGAGAGGUGGGAACCACAGCACCAUUGUCAUGGGAACCACAAUGUGACAACUCCAGAACAAAGUAUUCUUUCCUCCAGCAUCAAAGCAUAAGUCUUAGAGCAUGUCUUUGACACCUAAAGAAUGAAGGGACAGAGAGUUCUGGGUCUUUGGCAGCAAGCCCGUCCAUUCAUACCCUUACUUCAGCUCUACACUGUUGUGGCCAGCUGGAUGUGCCAAGACUCUCCAAACCCAAGAUCGCUCACUCGCUUCUUCAUCUGUAACAUGUCUGCCCCCUCUUGGUGAGAACACACUCUUCCUCACUCCCAUAAAUCACCCUCAGAAUCCAGUCCCCUUCCCAAGGCCAACUUCAAAACCCUCACUACACCAGCAAUCUUCUUGAGACCUUUAAUCUCCUCAUGGAACAAAUGUCGUGUUAAUCCAAUGAUAAGUUUCACAACCUUUUUAAAGACAUCAUAUCUAGAAGCUAUCACGUAUCGGGUACAGGAGGUAGAGACAUGUGAAAUAAAAUUAACCAAGCCAGCUUGGUUACUAUGGUCAAUAGCUUAGAUAGCAUGUAUUUCUCCAUAACAGUUCCUCAGUCUUUAGCAUUCAUUUGCUUGUUUUAGCUUAUGCCUCAGACAAUUCCAUUACCAUCACCGGACUUUGGGCUACAUGAUCACCAAAGAUCCAUUCUCAUUCAGUAGUCUUAGAUGUUAUAAUUGCCUUGUUAGCGUUCAGUGAUCACUUUUGUUCUUGAUAAUUGUCAUCCAGAGAUCCCGGGAUGUCUCUCUAAGCUUCAGAGAAUCGUGGGCAGAGGUUCGGAAUUGGUGCACAAUAGCAUCCCUGCAUCUGCUGACUACGGUGGUCAGUGUGAUACCCAAGUCCUCUUACUCUUCUCUCCCCAUCUGAGAAGCAGGGAGGCUGUUCCAGUGUUCACAAAGGCGCCUUCCAGAGCUCACGUCGUAGCUGACCCACAGUGACUCACUCACACACUCUCACAGGAACACACUGUGUUCUACAAGGACACGGCUGCCAAACCACCUGGCAGAGGAAAACAAACACUCAGCCACUCCCAGCCUCACCCCAGGGGGACAUGCUGAGAGCCCCCGAAGGCUUGAGAGUCAGUUGCUGGCCAUGAUUUUCAGCAUAAACACAAGAACCAGUUGAACAAAUAACUGUAGAAGUGGGUAGCAGCCAGCCCUGCUUGAUUGAAAAUCACUCGCCUCCCUCCCUCUCUGGGAGGCUUUGUUCCCUAACUCCCCAUUUCCUAGUCAUGGCCACUAUUGGGCAGAUUGAAUGAAGCACUAUGCUGAGUCUUCUUCAGACUUGGCAUACGUGUUAGGCAGGUACUCAUUGCUGGAAGAAAUCAAUGGAAGACAAUUCAGUCAAAUGACUUAGGUUGCUUCAAGCAGCUAUUAGAUGAGCUAUUUAGAUCACCAUCUUCACAGUCGAAUAUACACAUCAUGAUUUCUGUCUCGGUUCAUGCUUUAUCCUAGUUUUAAAUGUCAACUUGACACUGCCUAGGGUCUCAGUUGAGGGACUUUCCAGAUCAGAUUGGCCUGUGAGCUUGUCUGUGAGGAAUGUCAUUGAUUGGUAACUUAUUUAACAGGGCUCAGUCUCCUGUGGUCAACACCAAACCCAAGAAGGUAGCCCUGGACUAAGCUUGCUAACCACAAGCCUGCAAGCAAGCCAAUCAUAGCAUUUCUCCGUGGUUUCUGAUUUAGGUUUCUGCUUGAGUUCCUGUCUUGACUUCCCUCAAUGGUGGACUAUGACCUGGAAGUAUAUAAGCCAAAUAAACUCUUCCUUUCUACAAAAAAAAAAAAAAA
rnacentral:lncRNA from 1 species